AGAGUUUGAUCCUGGCUCAGGAUGAACGCUGGCGGAAUGCUUAACACAUGCAAGUCGACUUGAAAGUAUCUUCGGAUAUGAUUAGGGUGGCGGACGGGUGAGUAACGCGUGAAGAACCUACCCUUUAGACAUGGAUAACUUCUCGAAAGAGGAGCUAAAACGAGAUGAGCCGUAUUUAAGGCAUCUUAGAUACGGGAAAACUAUAUGUGCUAAAGGAGGGCUUCGCGUUCCAUUAGCUAGUUGGUGGGGUAACGGCCUACCAAGGCGACGAUGGAUAGCCGGCCUUAACGGGUGAUCGGCCACAAGGGAACUGAGACACGGUCCUUACUCCUACGGGAGGCAGCAGUGGGGAAUAUUGGACAAUGGGGGAGACCCUGAUCCAGCAAUUCCGCGUGGAUGAUGAAGGCUUUCGGGUUGUAAAGUCCUUUUAUAAGGGAAGAAAGAAAUGACGGUACCUUAAGAAGAAGCCACGGCUAAUUACGUGCCAGCAGCCGCGGUAAGACGUAAGUGGCAAGCGUUAUCCGGAAUUACUAGGCGUAAAGGGCAUCUAGGCGGUCUAAUAAGUCAGGGGUGAAAAGUCUGGGCUCAACCGAGGCCUUGCCUUUGAAACUGUUAGACUAGAGUACAGGAGAGGAGGGCGGAACUACAAGUGUAGCGGUGAAAUGCGUAGAUAUUUGUAGGAAUGCCAAUGACGAAGGUAGCUCUCUGGACUGUAACUGACGCUAAAGUGCGAAAGCUAGGGGAGCAAACAGGAUUAGAUACCCUGGUAAUCCUAGCUGUAAACGAUGGAUACUGGGUGUGGGGUGUCACAGCUCCGUGCCGAAGCAAACGCAUUAAGUAUCCCGCCUGGGGAGUACGUUCGCAAGAAUGAAACUCAAAGGAAUUGACGGGGACCCGCACAAGCGGUGGAGCGUGUGGUUUAAUUCGACGCAACGCGAGGAACCUUACCAGGUCUUGACAUCCAUGGAAUCUUUUAGAGAUAGAAGAGUGCCCCUUUGGGGAGCCAUGAGACAGGUGGUGCAUGGCUGUCGUCAGCUCGUGCCGUGAGGUGUUGGGUUAAGUCCCGCAACGAGCGCGACCCUUAUCAAUAGUUACCAUCAUUAAGUUGGGGACUCUAUUGAGACUGCCUGCGACGAGCAGGAGGAAGGUGGGGAUGACGUCAAGUCAUCAUGCCCCUUAUGACCUGGGCUACACACGUGCUACAAUGGAGGAUACAAAGGGAAGCGAAAGGGUGACCUGAAGCGAAACCCAGAAAAUCUUUCUUAGUUCGGAUUGCAGUCUGCAACUCGACUGCAUGAGGCUGGAAUCGCUAGUAAUCGCAAAUCAGCAAUGUUGCGGUGAAUACGUUCUCGGGUCUUGUACACACCGCCCGUCACACCACGAGAGUUUUUUGCACCUGAAGUUGCUGGCCCAACCCGUAAGGGAGGGAAGUACCUAAGGUGUGGGGGAUGAUUGGGGUGAAGUCGUAACAAGGUA
rnacentral:rRNA from 1 species